rnacentral:rRNA from 1 species
GACACAGGUGAGCCCGUGGGAUGGGAAAGACGUGGGGUGCAAUAGUUAAUCUGGGUUGCUGGUAGUAAAGAGUACGUAUGUGGUGAAUUAAGGCAGUUGUGAUAGCCCUGGGCUUAACCUGUGAACAGUAAAUGAUGCUGGUUGAGUAGAGUCGAAGAGAGGGAAGCGGAAUGUCCGGUGUAGCGGUGAAAUGCGUAGAUAUCGGAAGGAACAUCAGUGGCGAAGGCGGCUUCCUGGCUUCAGACUGACGCUGAGGUGCGAAAGCGUGGGGAGCAAACAGGAUUAGAUACCCGGGUAGUC